GGGCCCGCACAAGCGGUGGAUUAUGUGGAUUAAUUCGAUGCAACGCGAAAAAACCUUACCUACUCUUGACAUACUUGGAAGCUCUUGUAAUGAGAGUGUGCCUUUUGGAACCAAGAUACAGGUGCUGCAUGGCUGUCGUCAGCUCGUGUCGUGAGAUGUUCCGUUAAGUCGGAUAACGAGCGCAACCCUUACCCUUAUUUGCCAGCGAUUCGGUCGGGAACUAUAAGGGGACUGCCGGUGAUAAACCGGAGGAAGGUGAGGACGACGUCAAGUCAUCAUGGCCCUUACGAGUAGGGCUACACACGUGCUACAAUGGGGAAUACAGACGGACGCUAAGCCGCGAGGUGGUGCU
rnacentral:rRNA from 1 species